UAGGGAAUCUUCGGCAAUGGACGAAAGUCUGACCGAGCAACGCCGCGUGAGUGAAGAAGGUUUUCGGAUCGUAAAACUCUGUUGUUAGAGAAGAACAAGGACGUUAGUAACUGAACGUCCCCUGACGGUAUCUAACCAGAAAGCCACGGCUAACUACGUGCCAGCAGCCGCGGUAAUACGUAGGUGGCAAGCGUUGUCCGGAUUUAUUGGGCGUAAAGCGAGCGCAGGCGGUUUCUUAAGUCUGAUGUGAAAGCCCCCGGCUCAACCGGGGAGGGUCAUUGGAAACUGGGAGACUUGAGUGCAGAAGAGGAGAGUGGAAUUCCAUGUGUAGCGGUGAUAUGCGUAGAUAUAUGGAGGAACACCAGUGGCGAAGGCGGCUCUCUGGUCUGUAACUGACGCUGAGGCUCGAAAGCGUGGGGAGCAAACAGG
rnacentral:rRNA from 1 species